rnacentral:rRNA from 1 species
GUAGGGAAUCUUCCACAAUGGGCGCAAGCCUGAUGGAGCAACGCCGCGUGAGUGAAGAAGGUCUUCGGAUCGUAAAACUCUGUUGUUAGAGAAGAACAUGCAGGAGAGUAACUGUUCUUGUAUUGACGGUAUCUAACCAGAAAGUCACGGCUAACUACGUGCCGG